GAUCAGGCUCAGGAUGAACGCUAGCUACAGGCUUAACACAUGCAAGUCGAGGGGCAUCAGUUUGGUUUGCUUGCAAACCAAAGCUGGCGACCGGCGCACGGGUGAGUAACACGUAUCCAACCUGCCUCAUACUCGGGGAUAGCCUUUCGAAAGAAAGAUUAAUAUCCGAUAGCAUAUAUUUCCCGCAUGGGUUUUAUAUUAAAGAAAUUCGGUAUGAGAUGGGGAUGCGUUCCAUUAGUUUG
rnacentral:rRNA from 1 species